GAUGAACGCUAGCGAUAGGCUUAACACAUGCAAGUCGAGGGGCAGCACAAGGUAGCUUGCUAUCUGGGUGGCGACCGGCGCACGGGUGCGUAACGCGUAUGCAACUUGCCCUAUACAGGAGGAUAACCCGUCGAAAGACGGACUAAUACUGCGUAUGCUCACAACUUGGCAUCAAGUGGUGAGGAAAGAAAUUCGGUAUAGGAUAGGCAUGCGUCCCAUUAGCUUGUUGGUGAGGUAACGGCUCACCAAGGCAACGAUGGGUAGGGGAACUGAGAGGUUUAUCCCCCACACUGGUACUGAGACACGGACCAGACUCCUACGGGAGGCAGCAGUGAGGAAUAUUGGUCAAUGGGCGCGAGCCUGAACCAGCCAAGUCGCGUGAAGGACGACUGUCUUAUGGAUUGUAAACUUCUUUUAUACGGGAAUAACAAGAGUCACGUGUGACUCCCUGCAUGUACCGUAUGAAUAAGCAUCGGCUAACUCCGUG
rnacentral:rRNA from 1 species